AAUAGGGUGUCUGAAUUAGGUAAUAAAUUGUAAAUUUAUUUAAGGAAUUUUCCUCCUAUUA
rnacentral:tRNA from 1 species